AGUGAACGCUGGCGGUAGGCCUAACACAUGCAAGUCGAACGGCAGCACAGUAAGAGCUUGCUCUUACGGGUGGCGAGUGGAGGACGGGUGAGGAAUACAUCGGAAUCUACUUUUUCGUGGGGGAUAACGUAGGGAAACUUACGCUAAUACCGCAUACGACCUACGGGUGAAAGCAGGGGAUCUUCGGACCUUGCGCGAUUGAAUGAGCCGAUGUCGGAUUAGCUAGUUGGCGGGGUAAAGGCCCACCAAGGCGACGAUCCGUAGCUGGUCUGAGAGGAUGAUCAGCCACACUGGAACUGAGACACGUUCCAGACUCCUACGGGAGGCAGCAGUGGGGAAUAUUGGACAAUGGGCGCAAGCCUGAUCCAGCCAUACCGCGUGGGUGAAGAAGGCCUUCGGGUUGUAAAGCCCUUUUGUUGGGAAAGAAAAGCAGCAGGUUAAUACCCCGCUGUUCUGACGGUACCCAAAGAAUAAGCACCGGCUAACUUCGUG
rnacentral:rRNA from 1 species